CCGAGACCAAAAAACUCCCAUGUAAACAAAACACACGUGGCCGAAGCGGAAAAAAGAGAAAAAUAUUGAUAAACGAAGGAAUAGAAGGGAAUAGAAUAGCGAUAGAAGGGAGGCAGACACGUGAAUAGAUAGAGGAAGAGUGAUAGAAGAAGAGGGGAAAGGAAGAGGAAGAUAAGAGGAGGAGGAAGAGGAGAACAACCUUAUUUCUCUUUGCCUCGCAUUGACGGCAGUGAUGGUGGUGGUGGAGGUGUGUGGUGACCUGACCCUGCUGUCCGCCGGCAGGUCACUCAUCAUCUACGACCAAAGCACAUCGAUAUCGAGGGUCAUAAACGCAUUUGCCGAGAACAACAACAGUGAAAAUGGAAGAGCGGAAGACGAUGGGGAGAAGAAGAAGGAAGAGGAAGGAGGAGGAGGAGGAGGAGGAGGAGGAGGAGAGAUAAAUAAGAAGAAAGAAGAAGAAGAAGAAGCUGAUGAUCGGAAGGAAGAUGGAGAUGGAGAUGAAGGAAGGAAGGAGGAGGAGGAGGAGGAGGAGAAGGGAAGAAAGGAGGAGAAUGGGAAGACUGAUAAAGAAGGGAAGAAGAGGAACAACAAAAACAACAACAACAGCAAACCAGACAACCGCCACAUCACAGCCGCCAAGUUCUCCCCAUGUGGGCGGUGGUUGGCGGUUGGCGGAAGUUGCAAGGUGGUUGAGAUUUGGCGGAUUGGCGAAUGGCGGAUGGCGGCUGCCCACCGACUGCCCAAGAAACCC